GUCAAGCGCUUGUCCGGCAGUUAGCAAAUUAUUGAUUCUUCAUCGGACCAAGGCCGAUUUGUCCAGGACCAAUUUUCGGAUCUCCUGGGCUUCCUGGAACAAGGACUAGUGAUUGUUUCGAGGAGCUGUCAUGGUGUUGGCUCUUGAUAUUUUAUCGUGAAACGCAGAUUUAAUGAUGAAGGCGCGUCGGAACCCAAACGUCAAGAAUCGCCGACGUUCACAGAAGCAGCUACAAUGAGCGGAGAAUCUGAGAGCCAGGAAUGCGGAGCACCUUGCUACUACUAAAAUGGAGAACCCGGACCUGUUAGCGACAUGGAACUGACCAGGACCGUCGUGGGCUCCUCAUGUGCCACCCCCGUAUACCUUUUCUGAUUGUGGUGUUUACAGUACAGUAGUGUACAUAUUCAUGAAAAAAAAAUUUUAGGUACUUUUUUUACAUUUUUAAAAAACGCACUCUGCAUGGUUUUGGAGUUUCGACUUCGUGCUAGAUAAAAACCCCCAGGCAAGAGCAAACAAUUUUUUUUCCUAGCCUAUAUUUGUGACCCACUGCAAAGGCCUCUCUUUUCUUCCGCCACCCAUCACGUUUUGCCGCCUGCUUCGGCUAGCCGCAGCAAAAUACGUCGAGGUCAUCUCGCCUCGUUUUUUUUUGGUCUACCUCUGCCCCGACUAGUCGGGUGGUGUCCAGUUAGCAAACUAUACACCCUGUUUCUAUUUUAAAUUAUAUGUGUUGUAUUCUUUUCUUGUACAAUAAAGUGUUUACUUACUUACUUUUCAUUCCGUUAACUUUAAGGGGAGGUUCUUUAGAUUAAAUACGAUUAAUUUCUCAAAAAAGCUAGCGUCUUGACUGUUACGUUUACCGAGUUUGAAAAAAUAAUAGUUAUUUGUUUUACAAGGGGGCAAAGUAGUUGUUUAACUGGACGUGCCAAUAUUGAUACCUGAGCAAGGGAAAGAUUUCAAUAUUGAACCGCGAGCGUAGCGAGUGG